UAAAGUGGCGAACGGCUGAGUAACACGUGGGCAACCUGCCCUUUGCACUGGGAUAGCCUCGGGAAACCGAGGUUAAUACCGGAUACUCCAUAUUUGUCGCAUGGCGAAUAUGGGAAAGCUCCGGCGGCAAAGGAUGGGCCCGCGGCCUGUUAGCUAGUUGGUGGGGUAGUGGCCUACCAAGGCAAUGAUGGGUAGCCGGGUUGAGAGACCGACCGGCCAGAUUGGGACUGAGACACGGCCCAGACUCCUACGGGAGGCAGCAGAU
rnacentral:rRNA from 1 species